rnacentral:rRNA from 1 species
AUUGAACGCUGGCGGAAUGCUUUACACAUGCAAGUCGAACGGCAGCACGGGGCAACCUGGUGGCGAGUGGCGAACGGGUGAGUAAUGCAUCGGAACGUGCCAUUGAGUGGGGGAUAACGUAGCGAAAGUUGCGCUAAUACCGCAUAUUCUGUGAGCAGGAAAGCAGGGGACCGCAAGGCCUUGCGCUCUUUGAGCGGCCGAUGUCAGAUUAGCUAGUUGGUGAGGUAACGGCUUA